CUAAAAGCAUCAAAAACAGCAGUCUCUUUGAAAGGCUGGAGCCUAACUGAGAAACUAGGACAUUGGCCUCACAGGGCUCUCCUCCCAGACCAGACUCCUUCCGAUUGCUCUCUUCCACCCACCCUCCAGGUUUCUCUGAAUGUUGCUUUGCCAUCUGGCUGGCAGGUGCUGACAGGUCCACUCCACUUACUUGCCAGUGUCAAAGGAACCUUGCACAAUCUCUGCUUCAUACAAGCCAGUACAGAUCAGUUUGGAGGAAUGUAACUAUACACAGGCUUGUACAACUUUCCCAGCUACUUCAUAUAAGUUUGUCAAAUGUACCAUCUUGUCAUGUGUUGUUCAUGGAAUGAUAU